GAAUAGUCUAACGAUUUACAGUCAUGGUACUCUAUUGUUAUAAUAUGUCUUUUUGACUGAAUACAUGUUUGUUUUAUUUGUCUAUAUCUUAGAUUCGCAGCUGGACACAUCCUUCUACACUGUAUGCAAACAUGCAACAUCAUAACACACAGUACAAGGAGUCAGACUGGCAUAUGAGGAGCAAAGGAACCCACGCAGUAGCAUCGUUUCACAAUGUUUCCAUCACCAUCAUCAGUGGAUGCCUUUGCCGUCCGUAGCCUGAGAUUUCAGAUUUGCAGCAAAAAAAAUUGAUUUUCUCAUUUAUUGGAAUGCUAUGCAGGUUGUACCUUGCAGCCAUCCAUUACAAUGUCACCAAGCCGUAACAAAAGCAGGAGAGGGAAAGUACAAGGCUAUGUUCCCAAAACACACAAAUGACAUACCGUA